UCCUACGGGAGGCAGCAGUGGGGAAUAUUGGACAAUGGGGGGAACCCUGAUCCAGCCAUGCCGCGUGUGUGAAGAAGGCCUUUUGGUUGUAAAGCACUUUAAGCGAGGAGGAGGCUACCGAGAUUAAUACUCUUGGAUAGUGGACGUUACUCGCAGAAUAAGCACCGGCUAACUCUGUGCCAGCAGCCGCGGUAAUACGGAGGGUGCAAGCGUUAAUCGGAUUUACUGGGCGUAAAGCGUGCGUAGGUGGCCAAUUAAGUCAAAUGUGAAAUCCCCGAGCUUAACUUGGGAAUUGCAUUCGAUACUGGUUGGCUAGAGUAUGGGAGAGGAUGGUAGAAUUCCAGGUGUAGCGGUGAAAUGCGUAGAGAUCUGGAGGAAUACCGAUGGCGAAGGCAGCCAUCUGGCCUAAUACUGACACUGAGGCACGAAAGCAUGGGGAGCAAACAGGAUUAGAUACCCUGGUAGUCC
rnacentral:rRNA from 1 species